rnacentral:tRNA from 2 species
GCGGGUGUAGCUCAAUGGUAGAGCCCCAGCCUUCCAAGCUGGUCACGAGGGUUCGAUUCCCUUCACCCGCUCCA